GGAAGGGAUAGCCUUCGUUUCCACGAUGACUCUCUGGAUUAGGUUUAAGGGCAGUAUCAGCCUGAAACAAAUAUGCUGGCAUCUUGUCUCGUAGGUGCUUUACUCAAAAAGUAGACAGAUGUCUACUUUUGGAGUAAAGACCUACAUUCAGCUCAAGACCUGAAUGACCUGACUUUUCUUUCAUGCUAGAGAUGAAGUCAGUGGAAGAGGGAAAAAAAAAUAUUGAAAGAGUGCAUUUGACAACGGUGGGAGAGCAGAGAGGAGGGACUUCCAAGACAUCUUUGCCGCUCAGGUGGACUCCAGGUGACUGAGGGUGACGGAACAGGAAAAGCGAAGAAUGGUUGUGCAUCUUUCUUAAAAGCCAUGUGCACCUGUUGGCAGACUCUUUGUCACAGCUGCUCACUGGACAUCUCCGCAGUGGAUAUUCCAAAGUUUCCUCGAAUCCACAAUGGCACCACGGACGUCAAGUCUGUGGAGAUGCAGCAUGAAGCUCUGCCUGGUGGGUUUCAGCGUGAAGAAUGUGUCUGUGAAGGAUAUUCAUCUUGGCUUUGUGACCAAGAUGACCGGAAGGAGGAUGACCGGAAGGAGGAAGGAAGGAGGCCGGAAGCUUUGUGGCGUCGGUAAGUUCCCUGGGAGGUCAAGGGCCUUGGUGGUCGGAGGUGGUAGAAGCACUUGUAAGUAUUAAUCCUAAUUUCGAAGGAGGCCCCAGGUUGGUCCAGAUUUGGUGCCAGAUCACAGGUGCCAUCAGACCUCUUCUAAUUAUUUUCCUCCCCACCAGGUGAUCAUCUUGAAUCACGCGGGACAGAUCCACACCAGCUAUUCCCCAGUGCUGACUGCCACACAUCUCGUGCAAGUUUGCUGAAUUGAGGGAAAAGAUCGACUGGUUCUCUAGCAACAAGCUGGAGGACGACUGAACAAGGCCCUGAAGUCGGGCAGUGCGGCCAUUGUGCAGAUGGUUCCCAGCAAGGCCAUGUGUGUGGAGACCUUCUCUGAAUACCCAGUUCUAGAAGAGCCAGGGACUGAUGAUGGCUGCUGAGCCCUGGGAAGGAAAGGACCUCUGACUGAGGCCAAGGAGUCUUCCCUUCUGUGCCUCAUUCUUCCUUCCUCUUCAGGCCAUUUUGUUGUGCAGGACAUGAGGCAAAUGGCGGCCAUUGGAGUCAUUAAGGCCAUGGAUAAGAAGACAUCCAUUGAGGGCAACGACACCAAGUUAGCAGUGAAGGACAGCAAGAAAUGAAGCAUGUUUUCUUCCUGGCCAUUUCCUUGGCAAUCUCCACUAUAUAAGACACUUUUGUGUAUUUACUGAGUAAAAUUAAUAACAGGGCUUAAACUUGCUAUCUAUCCUGGUUUCUUUCAAUGAGGAAAGCACAAGGUCAGUGAGGAACCUCUGGGUUGAUGAACAACUAAUUCAAGGCCCGUGGGCUUCAAAGUGUUUUACCACCCAGAGGUCUAUACCAUCCUUUUCCUGUUUCCCUCACACUUAAAAGUAUUUUUACAAUGGCAUAAUGCCAAUAGGCUAAUCCAACACUACAAUAUGUCCCUCUCACCCAUCCUCUCUUUAAUAUAUAAUUUUUUUUUUUUUUACUAAAUAUAGUUGAUUUACAAUGUUGUGUUAGUUUCAGGUGUA
ensembl:lncRNA